rnacentral:rRNA from 1 species
AAUGGGCGAAAGCCUGAUGCAGCAACGCCGCGUGAGCGAUGAAGGCCUUUGGGUCGUAAAGCUCUGUCCUAGGGGAAGAAUAAAUGACGGUACCCUUGGAGGAAGCCCCGGCUAACUACGUGCCAGCAGCCGCGGUAAUACGUAGGGGGCGAGCGUUAUCCGGAAUUAUUGGGCGUAAAGAGUGCGUAGGUGGUUUUGUAAGCGCGGGGUGAAAGGCAAUGGCUCAACCAUUGUAAGCCCUGCGAACUGUGAGACUUGAGUGCAGGAGAGGAAAGUGGAAUUCCUAGUGUAGCGGUGAAAUGCGUAGAUAUUAGGAGGAACACCAGUGGCGAAGGCGACUUUCUGGACUGUAACUGACACUGAGGCACGAAAGCGUGGGGAGCAAA